rnacentral:rRNA from 1 species
CAAAACUUUUAACAACGGAUCUCUUGGUUCUGGCAUCGAUGAAGAACGCAGCGAAAUGCGAUAAGUAAUGUGAAUUGCAGAAUUCAGUGAAUCAUCGAAUCUUUGAACGCACAUUGCGCCCGCUGGUAUUCCAGCGGGCAUGCCUGUUC